rnacentral:misc_RNA from 1 species
GAUGAAGAACGUAGCGAAAUGCGAUACUUGGUGUGAAUUGCAGAAUCCCGUGAACCAUCGAGUCUUUGAACGCAAGUUGCGCCCGAAGCCAUUAGGCCGAGGGCACGCCUGCCUGGGCGUCACACGUCGUUGCCCCCCCAUCUACUCCUUCGGGAUUGCGGGGGGCGGAUGAUGGCUUCCCGUGCGCCUUGUCGCGCGGUUGGCAUAAAUGCCAAGUCCUCGGCGACGCACGCCACGACAAUCGGUGGUUGCGAAACCUCGGUUGCCCGUCGUGUGCGGUCGUCGCGCAUCGAGGGCUCGAAAAAAUUGUCGGGCUCCGGCUCGGCUUUCAACGCGACCCCAGGUCAGGCGGGGUUACCCGCUGAAUUUAAGCAUAUCAAUAAGCGGAGGA